UACAUAAGAGACUGUGACGUGUCAUUGCAGGGUUGGCUGAAGAGUUUUAUUCAGAGCAAAAAUUUUUUUUUCCCGUGUUCUAUCCCUUCCUCUCUGUCGCGAAUCUCUCAAUUAUUUUGUUGGCCCGAUUAAACUUGGACGAGAUUGUAUAUGAGGAGAUUGAAUCGACUGAAAUCAGAGGAGAUAGAAUCGGAGAAGCUUGAACCUAUUUCUCAUUGUCGCUGAAAUCCUCAAAGAUCGUCCAUCUUGGCUCCGUGGUUGUCGAUGUGUGGAUACUCUGAGUGUGAUUGGCUCCGUGAUUGUCAAUAAGCAAAAGAAGAUAGAGUCAAUUGUUGUGUUCUCUCUCCCGCCUGAACAGGGGAUUUGUGAUGAUGAUUUGUAUGUUUCUUGACUUUAUUAUACCUUCUCUGGCUGUGAGAAAGGAAUUCUCAUCUAUCAUAUGAAACUUUCAUCACGUUCGGGUCCAAUCCAGUUACCAACACUUUCAUAUUUACUGAGGAUAUUGCGGAUGCCACAAGAGAAGAAGAGUUUCCCUUGAGUGUUGAAGUGAGAAGUGUUGCUCCACUUGACUCUGCAAAGAACCGUUGGACCCAAUAGCUAGGAGUUCCAUAUAGAUGAGAUUGUUGCCCUAGCUUCCCCAGUACACAGAAGAACGGGAGCAUCUUUUCCAGUCACAGUAUUCACUGACAAGCCUGCAAGACAAAUCAAAAAUUGAGCAAAAUGCUGAAAGCUUCAUCUUUUCGUUUCUUGGAAUUAAGUUGUGUUAUAAUCUCACCUUUGGGCCAUUGCAUGAAGUGUGGUCAAAUUGAUGAUACAUGGAAAACAAAUUGCUAGCAGAAGUCUAAAUCUGUGAGAAAAGGAGAACACUUUUUGAGGCGGGAGAGAGAACACAAGAUAACGUUUACAGGUUACAGGUCAAGAAGACAUCAUAUCUAGCGAUGGUUGAGAUGUCAAUUGUUGGAAGCCUCUGGCUCUGCUUGUUAGUAAAGUACCUUAAUUUAAAAGAUGGUGAAGCGAUGAAAAGAUAUGGUUUUCUUUCACAUGGUUGGACUGCUUUAACACUGGUAACUAAAUGAUCUCUCUUUCUUUUGCCUAAAACGAUUUUGUUGAUAGAGAACUGUAAAUUCUGAUUGUUUGUACAAGCACUGUGACUGUCGGUAAUAAACAAUGCCCUUGGUGGAA